AUGAAUACGUCGAGCAUCUGGCAACAUGGCGAUCACUGUGAUUGUCGAACCCGCCUCGUCCCAUAUUUUAGUGAUUUUUAAGGCUAUUCCACCACUUCUUCACCUGCCACGGCGUCCAGAUGAACCACUCAACCAAAAACUGCAGCGGACACACCCACCGUUCCCUGGGUCCUGAUUGGCUGAGGAGGCGACCAAUCAACACGCAGGAAUUCCUCAGAACACAGCAAGACUUCACGCUGGAAACACCUCCGUCGCUUAAGAUCCGACACUAUUUAUAAGGGUUUAGAGUCUGUUAUGCCUCAGUCUAGGAAGGGAGAGCUUGUGAUAGUGUUAGAAUUGACCUCAAGGGAAUGGCUGAGGAAGGGAGAGCUUGUGAUAGUUGUUAUUAUUAUUAUUAAUUCAAUUAUUAAAAAUCAUAUUUUAUGUUGGGGGGGGAGGCACCCUGCACGUGACCAGGUCCCCCCCCCCCCUUCCCCCUUGGAUCUGCCACUGAAUGUAAGCUUAUUCCAAUAUUUAGAGACCUGUCAAGCUGUCAAAUCAAGCCAAAUGCCAAUCUGAUGCUCUGUUAAAAAGUUAUGCUAGAAUGAUGGUAUAAAGAGCCUCUUGGAACCCAUCGUAAUAGUGUUUGGUAAGGGAUUGGAUAAGGUUAUUCUUAACUACAUGUUGCCUGGUAGUGCCCGGGUACACACACACACACACAACAUGGCCCGGUAGCUCAGUGGGUAGAGCGUCUGCCUCACAACCAGAAGGACCGGGGUUCAAUUCUCCGGCCGGGUGAAGAUAAGUUGGGUUUAUCUUCUUUCAUGUGUAGUCCAUGUUCACCCAGCAGUGAGCAGGUACGCGACGUCAGGCAAGGAGUUGUGACCUCGUUGUCGCGGUGUGUGAGUGGUCUCAGUCCUACCCAAAGAUCGGUACUACGAGCUCUGUGCUCUUCUGUAGGGGAACGGCUGGAUGUCUGACCCACAGCAGACCAAGAGGUGAAUUACACACACACACACACACACAGGAGGGUAAGAUUAAUAUACAUAGUUAAUUCUUGAGCAUUUUUUUAUUUACAGCAGAAGUAGAACACACACACACACACACACACACACACACACACACACAGGAGGGUAAGAUUAACAUACAUGGUUAAUUCUUGAGCAUUUUUUUUUUUACAGCAGAAGUAGAACACACACACACAGGAGGGUAAGAUUAAUAUAAAUAGUUAAUUCUUGAGCAUUUUUUUAUUUACAGCAGAAGUAGAACACACACACACACACACACACACACACAGGAGGGUAAGAUUAAUAUACAUAGUUAAUUCUUGAGCAUUUUUUUAUUUACAGCAGAAGUAGAACACACACACACAGGAGGGUAAGAUUAAUAUAAAUAGUUAAUUCUUGAGCAUUUUUUUAUUUACAGCAGAAGUAGAACACACACACACACACACACACACACACACACACACACACACACACACACACACAGGAGGGUAAGAUUAAUAUACAUAGUUAAUUCUUGAGCAUUUUUUUAUUUACAGCAGAAGUAGAACACACACACACACACACACACACAGGAGGGUAAGAUUAAUAUACAUAGUUAAUUCUUGAGCAUUUUUUUAUUUACAGCAGAAGUAGAACACACACACACACACACACACACACACAGGAGGGUAAGAUUAAUAUACAUAGUUAAUUCUUGAGCAUUUUUUUAUUUACAGCAGAAGUAGAACACACACACACACACACACACACACACACAGGAGGGUAAGAUUAAUAUACAUAGUUAAUUCUUGAGCAUUUUUUUAUUUACAGCAGAAGUAGAACACACACACACACACAUUAAUGAUAGUAUGCAUGGUAACUUAAGCAGAUUAGUAACAGUAGUAAUAGUAGUAGUCUCUCUCUCUCUCUCUCUCUCUCUCUCUCUCUCUCUCUCUCUCUCUCUCUCUCUCUCUCUCUCCUCACCUCAGCCCACAGGUACCCACAGAAUGUCUCUCCACAGUAUGUUGACAACCCCCACAGACACACCAGUUGACCUACUACUACUACUACUACUACUACUACUACUACUACUGAUACUAAUAAAUUCUUUUUCAGGUUACUGUUUAGAGAAAUCUAUAUUGUAAGUUGAGUGAAUAAAUAUGAAAAUAAUGUAUGUCUUGUUUGAUAAUAAUAAUAAUAAUGAUAAUAGGUUUGAAUUUGAGAAGAGGGAGAGAGAGGAAGAAGGGAGGAACAGAGAACGAAGGAGGGAAGGGAGGAAUGGAACAGAAGAAGGGAGACUAACUGAUGAAAGAAGGAAGCAACAGAGAAUCAUGAUAACCAAGGGAGGAUAAGGGAAGGGAGGGAGAUUAAGAGGAAGGAACAGAGAAGGAAGGGAGGGAGAUUAAGAGGAAGGAACAGAGAAGGAAGGGAG